rnacentral:rRNA from 1 species
AGCACGACAUUGUCAGACAACCGACCGGAUUCAAGCCCUAGCCCUUCAACUUGGAUGGACUUGUGGAAAUCCUCGAAAACAAGUAUUUCUCAACUCACCUAUCUAUAA